GACGUCCUGAACUGCUGAAAUGAAUUGCUUACAAGUGGUUUGUGUAACGCCUUGAAGGAGCAGACUGCAGCUAUAAAUGAGCCUGCCUUUGAACUUUACAAGUUUUGCCACUUGGGGUGCAGAAAGCACCCAAAUGUCUCAAGUCCCUGGGGAAGGCCCCAGGUCUGUAGGCAAGGCACCAUUCCUGCCUCCUGCUGAUACAACAUUUGCUGCAAAGACAAUUGGUUCUACAAAAUAAACUGGGGGAAUCCAUAACAGCCCUGUCACAUUGGAC
rnacentral:lncRNA from 12 species